GCUUGCUUUGGUAGAGCAUAUACUAAAAUUGGAAUGAUACAGAGAAGAUUAGCAUGGCCCCUGUAAAAGGAUGACUCAUAAAUUCAUGAAACAUUCAUAUUUUUA